GAGUGAUAUGAUGUUAUGCCAUCUUUCGGGACUGACCAGAACUGGAGAUGACUUUUUUCCACUGAUCACUC